AACAACAAACUCUCUUGAGUCCCUUGAUUGCUUGCUCUCAGCUACUAAUAGCAACAAUGAUACAUCAGUUGACGAUGAUGGGAUUUCAAUGAUAUUCUCU